AAGGAGAAGAAGAUGAUGAGGAAGGGGAAGAAGAAGGAGAUGAGGAAAAUUACCCUGACUAUGACCCCAAGAAUGAUCUGAACCCAGCAGAGUGCAAGCAGCAGUGAAGCAGGAUCUCUGUGGCCUUGAGGACGGCCUACCCUGGCCUACCUUCUGCUUUCCUGGAAAGGAUAGAAUUACAUCAUUUGAACCUAUUUUGAGUUUUUCUCUUGUUUGUUUGCCUAAUUUUGUUUUAUAGCCUAAAAUAAAAAUGUCAUACAGUUUUA